AAAUGAGGCUCAACUUGGAGAGCCUCAGCCAAAUCCUGGGGAGGGUUUAGGCAUCCAAAUGGGUAGCAAUAGCUCCGUCCCUUUGGAGAGACGGUCCAGAGACCGGGCCAGUCAGACCCGGUCGGGAAAUCCGUCUU
rnacentral:sRNA from 24 species